UGGGAGGUUCAGAUGUCUCCACGGCUGAUGAACAUGUCACAUUCGCCUGCAGAGUAUCGCUGUUGCUGGAUACCUGCGUUGAGAAAGCCUAUGGUUCCUGUCCGAAGAGAACAGCAGAGGUCCUGAAAGAAGUGAUCAAGUACAAUAGACCAGCUGGCUGUGACGCUUGUGUCUCCAAGCCGUCUCUACUCCUCCUGUUGGUCUCAGUGUUGACAUUCAUGCUGGCUUUGUUCAAGUAGAUACCCUAGUGACAUACCCCAUUCUACACAUAUAUGUGUGCUGGAGCUGUUGUUUUCUUUACUUAUGAACAUAUACUCAUGGAAACAAAUAAGGGAACACAUGAAACUACAAGUGUUCCUUUUUUUAUUUCCAGAAUUUCACCCACAGUGCAAUAAAUACCUUGUGAAGAAAGCUG